rnacentral:rRNA from 1 species
GAGUUUGAUCCUGGCUCAGGAUGAACGCUAGCGGCAGGCUUAAUACAUGCAAGUCGAACGAGAUUUCCCGGUUCGCUGGGGAUGAAAGUGGCGCACGGGUGCGUAACGCGUAUGCAACCUACCUUUAACUGGGAGAUAGCCCCGAGAAAUCGGGAUUAAUACCCCAUAACAUAACGAUCAGGCAUCUGGUUGUUAUCAAAGUUCCGGCGGUUAAAGAUGGGCAUGCGUGGCAUUAGCUAGUUGGUGAGGUAACGGCUCACCAAGGCUACGAUGCCUAGGGGACCUGAGAGGGUGAUCCCCCACACUGGUACUGAGACACGGACCASACUCCUACGGGAGCCCCACUNCGNANUNUUGCKCAAUCGGCCUGCGCGUCUGACCCCGCCAUGCCGCGUGCGCCCGACGGGCCUAUGGGUUNUGCNCUGCU